rnacentral:rRNA from 1 species
AUGAACGUUGGCGGCGUGGAUUAGGCAUGCAAGUCGCACGAGAACCCCGCAAGGGGGGAAAGUGGCAAACGGCGUAGUAAGGCGUAGGUGACGUACCCCGAGGACCGGGAUAGCUACGGGAAACUGUAGGUAAUACCGGAUAACCCCCGUCCGAUUGAAAAGGACGGUGCAAAGGUGUGAUUCCGUCUUGGGAGCGGCUUACGUAGUAUUAGCUAGUUGGUGAGGUGACGGCUCACCAAGGCGAUGAUGCUUAGGGGGUGUUAGCGCAUGACCCCCACGACUGGGACUGAGAUACUGCCCAGACACCUACGGGUGGCUGCAGUCGAGAAUCUUCGGCAAUGGGCGCAAGCCUGACCGAGCGACGCCGCGUGCGGGAUGAAGGCCCUUGGGUUGUAAACCGCUGUCAGAGGGGAUGAAGUGCCGGCGAGCUAUCUUGCCGGUUUGACAUAGCCUCAGAGGAAGCACGGGCUAAGUUCGU